rnacentral:rRNA from 1 species
AUGGUCUGCGUUUGGAAAGAUUUUUCGGUUGGGGAGGGGCUCGCGGCCUAUCAGCUUGUUGGUGAGGUAAUGGCUCACCAAGGCGUCGACGGGUAGCCGGCCUGAGAGGGUGACCGGCCACACUGGGACUGAGACACCGGCCCAGACUCCUACGGGAGGCAGCAGUGGGGAAUAUUGCAACAUGGGCGGAAGCCUGAUGCAGCAACGCCGCGUGAGGGAUGACGGCCUUCGGGUUGUAAACCUCUUUUAGCAGGGAAGAAGCGAAAGUGACGGUACCUGCAGAAAAAGCGCCGGCUAACUACGUGCCAGCAGCCGCGGUAAUACGUAGGGCGCAAGCGUUAUCCGGAAUUAUUGGGCGUAAAGAGCUCGUAGGCGGUUUGUCGCGUCUGCUGUGAAAUCCCGAGGCUCAACCUCGGGCCUGCAGUGGGUACGGGCAGACUAGAGUGCGGUAGGGGAGAUUGGAAUUCCUGGUGUAGCGGUGGAAUGCGCAGAUAUCAGGAGGAACACCGAUGGCGAAGGCAGAUCUCUGGGCCGUAACUGACGCUGAGGAGCGAAAGGGUGGGGAGCAAACAGGCUUAGAUACCCUGGUAGUCCACCCCGUAAACGUUGGGAACUAGUUGUGGGGUCCAUUCCACGGAUUCCGUGACGCAGCUAACGCAUUAAGUUCCCCGCCUGGGGAGUACGGCCGCAAGGCUAAAACUCAAAGGAAUUGACGGGGACCCGCACAAGCGGCGGAGCAUGCGGAUUAAUUCGAUGCAACGCGAAGAACCUUACCAAGGCUUGACAUAUACGAGAACGGGCCAGAAAUGGUCAACUCUUUGGACACUCGUAAACAGGUGGUGCAUGGUUGUCGUCAGCUCGUGUCGUGAGAUGUUGGGUUAAGUCCCGCAACGAGCGCAACCCUCGUUCUAUGUUGCCAGCACGUAAUGGUGGGAACUCAUGGGAUACUGCCGGGGUCAACUCGGAGGAAGGUGGGGAUGACGUCAAAUCAUCAUGCCCCUUAUGUCUUGGGCUUCACGCAUGCUACAAUGGCCGGUACAAAGGGCUGCAAUACCGUGAGGUGGAGCGAAUCCCAAAAAGCCGGUCCCAGUUCGGAUUGAGGUCUGCAACUCGACCUCAUGAAGUCGGAGUCGCUAGUAAUCGCAGAUCAGCAACGCUGCGGUGAAUACGUUCCCGGGUCUUGUACACACCGCCCGUCAAGUCAUGAAAGUCGGUAACACCUGAAGCCGGUGGCCUAACCCUUGUGGAGGGAGCCGUCGAAG